GUAGUCUCGCACAGAUGCAUAUCAAUAAGCGGAGGAAAAGAAACUAACAAGGAUUCCCCUAGUAACGGCGAGUGAAGCGGGAAGAGCUCAAAUUUGAAAUCUUAAAGGGUUUCCCUUUACGAAUUGUAGUUUAAAGAAGUGUUUUCUGUUGAGGUUUUGGUAAAAGUUCUUUGGAAUAGGACAUCAUAGAGGGUGAGAAUCCCGUAUUUGACCUUUACUUUCAACUUUGUGAUACACUUUCAAAGAGUCGGAUUGUUUGGGAAUGCAGUCCAAAAUGGGUGGUAAAUUUCAUCUAAAGCUAAAUAUUGGCGAGAGACCGAUAGCGAACAAGUACCGUGAGGGAAAGAUGAAAAGAACUUUGAAAAGAGAGUUAAACAGUACGUGAAAUUGUCAAAAGGGAAGCGUUUGACACCAGUGUUGUUUUUCUGAAAAUCAAUUAAAGAACUGUUUAUGCUAAGCUGUUUAGACUUUAUCAGCUAAUCUGUUUAGUUUUGAGCUUUUCUUUAAUGCACUUUUCAGUUAACAAGUCAACAUCAAUUUCUUUUGCUGUAAAAAAGCUUGAGGAAGGUGGCUUGAGAUUCGUCUUAAGUGUUUAUAGCCUCUUGCCUAUGCAGUCGGAGAGAUUGAGGUCUGCAGCGUAAAUCCUUCGGGGCUAAAUGCAUUUGUGCUAAGUUAUAGCAUUUUAUAGACAACUUGUUGACUAUGAUUUGUCUUGUAGCUUACUCGCUUAUGUUAUUUUACCUACGCUUAGGAUGUUGAUCUGUAGUGCGUGCGC
rnacentral:rRNA from 1 species